rnacentral:rRNA from 1 species
UUGAACGCUGGCGGCAUGCUUUACACAUGCAAGUCGAACGGUAGACCCUUUCGGGGGUUGAGAGUGGCGAACGGGUGAGUAAUGCAUCGGAACAUACCCAGUCGUGGGGGAUAACGUAGCGAAAGUUACGCUAAUACCGCAUGAGUCCUGAGGGAGAAAGCGGGGGAUCGCAAGACCUCGCGCGAUUGGAGUGGCCGAUGUCAGAUUAGCUAGUUGGUGGGGUAAAGGCCUACCAAGGCGACGAUCUGUAGCGGGUCUGAGAGGAUGAUGCGCCACACUGGGACUGAGACACGGCCCAGACUCCUACGGGAGGCAGCAGUGGGGAAUUUUGGACAAUGGGCGAAAGCCUGAUCCAGCCAUGCCGCGUGCGGGAAGAAGGCCUUCGGGUUGUAAACCGCUUUCAGCCGGAAAGAAAUCGUGGCCUCUAACAUAGGCCAUGGAUGACGGUACCGGACUAAGAAGCACCGGCUAACUACGU